UUGUUUCUAAUUUGAGUCGAGAUGUCGUCUUCAAGACCUAGCCAAUCUUCCACCACUUCAUCAAGAUCAAAGCACAGUGCUAGGAUCGUUGCACAGACCUCUAUAGAUGCAAAGCUGCAUGCAGACUUUGAGGAGUCAGGUGAUUCCUUUGACUAUUCAAGCUCAGUGAGGGUUACAAGUGUCGCUGGAGAUGAGGAAAAACCAAAGUCAGACAAAGUUACCACCGCCUACCUUCAUCAGAUCCAAAAGGGCAAGUUUAUCCAGCCAUUUGGUUGUCUGUUAGCCCUGGAUGAGAAAACAUUAAAGGUCAUAGCAUUCAGUGAGAAUGCCCCUGAAAUGCUGACCAUGGUUAGCCAUGCUGUUCCAAGUGUUGGUGAGCAUCCAGUUCUUGGCAUCGGGACUGAUAUCAGAACGAUCUUCACUGGUCCUAGUGGCGCAGCAUUGCAGAAAGCCUUGGGGUUUGGGGAGGUUUCUCUGUUAAAUCCUGUCCUUGUUCACUGUAAAAAUUCUGGAAAGCCAUUUUAUGCAAUUGUUCAUAGGGUUACAGGUAGCUUAAUCCUUGAUUUUGAGCCUGUGAAGCCCUAUGAAGUACCCAUGACUGCUGCAGGGGCCCUGCAGUCAUAUAAACUAGCAGCCAAAGCCAUUACUCGCUUGCAGUCCUUGCCCAGUGGCAGUAUGGAAAGACUCUGUGACACAAUGGUUCAGGAGGUUUUUGAACUCACAGGUUAUGACAGGGUGAUGGGAUAUAAGUUUCACGAGGAUGAUCAUGGAGAGGUGGUGUCUGAGAUCACAAAGCCUGGCCUCGAGCCUUACCUUGGUUUACAUUAUCCUGCUACAGAUAUUCCACAGGCUGCACGGUUUUUGUUUAUGAAGAAUAAGGUCCGAAUGAUUUGUGAUUGCCGAGCAAAGCAUGUGAAGGUAGUCCAAGAUGAGAAGCUUCCAUUUGAUUUAACAUUGUGCGGCUCUACUCUUAGGGCCCCUCACUACUGCCAUUUACAGUAUAUGGAGAACAUGAAUUCAAUUGCAUCACUUGUAAUGGCAGUUGUGGUCAAUGACGGGGAUGAAGAAGGAGAAAGCUCUGAUUCUUCACAAUCUCAAAAAAGAAAAAGGCUAUGGGGCCUGGUUGUUUGCCACAACACGACCCCAAGGUUCGUUCCCUUUCCACUGAGGUAUGCAUGUGAGUUUCUUGCACAAGUCUUUGCCAUACACGUCAACAAGGAACUGGAAUUGGAAAAUCAAUUCCUUGAGAAAAAUAUUCUGCGUACUCAGACUCUCUUGUGUGAUAUGCUGAUGCGAGAUGCUCCCCUAGGUAUCGUGUCACAGAGCCCCAACAUUAUGGAUCUUGUCAAAUGUGAUGGUGCGGCUUUGCUCUAUAAGAAUAAGAUACAUCGAUUAGGAAUGAACCCAAGUGACUUUCAGCUGCAGGAUAUAGUAUCAUGGCUUUGUGAGUAUCAUACAGAUUCCACAGGCUUGAGUACGGAUAGCUUGUAUGAUGCUGGUUUUCCUGGGGCUCUUGCUCUUGGUGAUGCAGUCUGUGGUAUGGCAGCUGUGAGAAUAUCUGAUAAGGACUGGCUGUUCUGGUUCAGGUCACACACUGCUGCUGAAGUUAGAUGGGGUGGUGCAAAGCAUGAACCUGGUGAGAAGGAUGA
rnacentral:misc_RNA from 1 species